UGGAAUAUAGUUAAAUUUUAUAAUAUUUAUUUUGCAAAUAAAAGUUAUUAGUUUAAUUUUCUAA
rnacentral:tRNA from 1 species